rnacentral:lncRNA from 1 species
UGAGAACCAAGAUCUGUCAUAUAAAGGUACAAGAUCCCAGUGAUAAAUGUAACUGUACUGCAUACUUAAGAAGUACCAAUAAACUCAAUUUAAAAAAAAGAGAUAUACAAUUUGUUUUCACUGGAUUUUUAAAAUUAUGAAUGUGUUACAGUCUUUUCAACAUUUAACAACUAAAUAACUCAUUGAGUAAAUGGCAAGUUGUACAAUGUGUCAUGAGAGACAGCAAAUACUAUCUCAAAGUAUAUUCCCAACUUAAACAUUAAAUGAAGGUAAAGGAACAUUUACAUUAUAUUUUCUCUUUUUAAAAACUCAUGCUAAUGCUUCUCCCA